GCCAGCAAUAUAUGGCUCCCACAAGUCGAAUGAAAAAUAUGAAACGUUCCAAGCUUUGAGAUGUGCAUUCGAAUAAAGAUACUUUUCUAUUAAAAGUUAAAACCAAUGGCCACAUCGUAUUAUUAGUAUUGUCUUAUUUUUGGGAACCCCAAGUUUAUGUACGUAGAUCGUCAAUUAGCUCCAAUUGGUCGAGAUAAUUCUUCUUCUUAUAGCAUCUUUCUCACCCUUUCCU